rnacentral:rRNA from 1 species
UACUCCUACGGGAGGCAGCAGUGAGGAAUAUUGGGCAAUGGGCGAAAGCCUGACCCAGCGACGCCGCGUGAGGGAAGACGGUCUUCGGAUUGUAAACCUCUUUCAGCAGGGAAGAAGAAAGUGACGGUACCUGCAGAAGAAGUCACGGCUAACUACGUGCCAGCAGCCGCGGUA